AACUUCAUUGCACAGGGUGUAAUUUAACGGCAAUUGUCGCCCUUGAUGAAGACGAACUGACGUAAUCAAGGCAGUUUCUUGUUGUCGAGCCAGGAAGCCAAUCCCAACAACAUGAAACUACCUAAACCACGCACCAGCCGCGCGUAACGGCGUUAUCCACAGGAGAAGACAAACAGCAAACUGCACAGACAAUCUGUCUCUGAUCCAUGUCGUCUUCCUGCGUAUUCCCUCCCUUGUCUUCUGGGUGCUGCCUUGCUUUGCUGCUUUUGACACAUGAAUCUGACGCUAGUGCCUCAACAGGCGUGGAUAUUCUGGGUAUUGGAUUAAAGUCCGAGCCGAACUCAUCUCCGUGGUGGCCCCUUUCACUGGCGUACACCUGGCUCCGUCGGAAAUAAUCGGGGGUGGAGACAGCGCUUUGAUUCGGGUGGCUGUUAUUGUCUCCCAGACGGAUGUAGGUGGAUUUCUCGCCGGACUCCUUGGCGCUGUCGAUAUCAGGCUGAUAAAGACAAGGAAUCGCUUCCUCUUUUACAUUGCUGGCUGGAAAAGAGCAUGGGUGCAAAGGUUGGGCAACAGGUUGCGAGCCUCUGUAAGUUUUAGAGCCUGCGAUCCAAGUGUCCCGCUGCGACAGGUAAUGUGAGUGCUGGUAGCUGCCGAGAUGCAUCCCACUCGGUUGCAGGUCAUCCCGUUUGGAGAGAGGGGUGCCAACAAUGCCAAAACUACCCAUCAUGGAGCAACCAUAUUCUGCAGACGUUUGCAUAUACAUUCCAGAGUUAGAGGAAUAGCUCUCACCUCUGAAAGGAGAUGUUCCUCCCACCAGCGAGUCCAUCAGGAAUGCGUUGGCUGCCACGUUGUUCGGGCAUGACAUUUUGCUACUUGUCUUGCUUUUCUUUUGAUUCAAAACAAUCUCCUUUAUGCCGAAGAGGAUAAGGACAGUAGGACGCUGACAUCUUUUGGGGGGGCGAAAAAUAUCAGCAACAUAAUUAUGGAUUCAAGGCGUUUUGUCAUGUGAUUUUCAGACCAAUAAGGUUUUGAAAGUGGCCUUGAUGCGCCAGACCGUCUUGACGUCACUGGGGUCAAGUUGUUGAAUUUAUGUGGUGCAGCAUGGAGCAAUGGCGCCAUCUAGCCGUGUAUUGAGAACAAGGAAGCCAACAGCAGAACAAAGAACAGUCGCAUGCUUCAGAUAUACUGUUACGUGGCUUAUGUGUCUGCAAAAGAAAAGAGGCAAGUAAACUAAACUAAACACUUUACGGAAGUCAAAGGCUAAUUUUACAAGCUUAGUCAAUAUAAAUUAUGGCUAAUUCUACACGUUUUUGCGACAGUAAAUGUAGCCUUUGUUUUUAAAAGUGCUCAUGCAAUUUUAUUGAAGUAGGUAUGCGUAUAUUUGUCUGUCACGACACACAAUACUACGUAUUAAUUGUUUUUUUUUUUGUCGCAUGAUUGCAACUUAAAUUAUGUGGAUUGUGUAUGUUAGAUCUGUUAAAUAUUUUUUUCAUGAAUUGUUAUUUUCAUUCGUUUUGUAAAAUGGCACCUAUUGUUUUUUCAUUGUGAAUUUCUGGCUUAGGAAAUUCACAUCUUUUAUGGUAAAAUUAAUAUGAAAUACACAAGAGAAACUAUGGUCUUAUUUAGUAUCUCCAAGCUGAAACAAUUGCUUUAGUUUUUCCCCUCAUUUUAAUUUUAUUUAUUUUUUGACUUAGGAAAGUGGCAUUGUGUUUUAAAAUUAAUAUGAAAUAAACGUGGAAUUAGAUCUUUUUUAGGGUCUAAACAUUUAAAUUAUUUUUAGUCGUAUUGUAUAUUUUUGGUGUACAAGAAACGCAUUUACUUGUUCAUUAUCUAUUUGGAAAAAAUGGCUUAAAACGGCUUAAACGUCGACUGCAGAAAACUUAAAAUUACCCGGAAUGAAUAAAAUGCAAUACAUUAUACGGUCAAUUCAUUCCUAUUGUUACUGGCCAGAAUUUUAGCAAAUGUGUUUAUUUUAACUCAUAUAAGUUAUGGCAUAUGCAUAAUAUAUAAAGUGUAACAUGUAAAGCCUGAUUUUUUUUUUAUCAGACCGAUCUUUUUUAUUAUUAUUUCUUCCAGAUUACCUCUUACAACUUGAAAUAUGAUUUACAAAUUUAGCCCAAUUCAGUACAUUCAAAACAGCGAAAAGGUAAUAUGGCACAGGCUAAAACAAAUUCACUAUGCCGUUUAAAAUGAAAAGAGAAUCUUUUAAUCCGAUCAAGCUGGCGCAUGUGUGAGUAAUUUUUGACUUUGCAUACUAUAAUUUAUGUAAAUAAAAAGAAAACUGCAUGAAAACUUGGACUUGAAUGGUCUUUUUCUGUGUUUGCUAUCCAAUACAUUUCUCACCGAGGUCAGUGUCUGUGACCCAGCUGAAAACAUGGGGGAUGUGAUUGGUCUGUUCACUUGUCUGUCAGUCAGCCUUUUAAGACAAACAAAUGCACUCUCUAGUCAGAAAUUAAAUGUUUAUCGGUACAUUGCCAGCUCUGAUCUGUUUUGCAUAAGUUUUAUUGUAUGUUUUAUUAAUAAUAGAAAAUUCUGUGAAAUGUAAAUGCAUACGCACAUAUAUUUACAUACACAAAUAUAUGUACGUGUGUGUACAGGAGUUAAAGGCAAAUCUACGUGUUUGUGUGUAUACACGUGCUAGCGUGUAUGGUUCUUUGUUUUACCUUGAUUUAUUUUAUUUUUUUGUAACGAAAAACUACAUAAUUGCAUACAAUUUGUGUUUUUAAGUCUCUUAAUAUUUCCCAACAUUCGCAAAGGAAACCUGGUGAUGAACACACAUAGUCCAAUAGAUGUAUUUCUAUAUUUAAAUUAUUGAUUAGUAUAACAUAUAAGGUUUCUUCAAUCAACGAAGAAGAGUCCAGUGGUUUAAUGUAUCAAAAUUUCUACAUUUUAUGUAUUAUAAAUGUAUUUAUUUUAUGUAUUAUUUUAUGUUUGUAUUGUGUUUUUGUUGCAGCGAAAAUAUAUUCUUGAACAAAGUGUUGCAGUUGUUUUUAAGAAAAGUGCAUUUACCUAAAUAUUUAUCUUAUUGUCUCAAUGUAAUAAAAAUACAUCGGAUAA
ensembl:antisense